CAAGAUGAAGAUUAGAAAGAACUAGAUAAUUGGCAAGUUGGUGGGCGGUGCUUAUUUCUUUGAAAAACGAGAAGAGGCCGUAGUGUGCAUGUGCAUGAGGCGAGGAUGGGRCAACAACUGUCCGUGGUAGAAGACGUGGAAGAGGCAGCGGAGGUGCUGUCAACAAUCAGUGACAUGAUGAUGGAAGGACUGUGGAGGGACGGUGUGAAGGGA